rnacentral:rRNA from 1 species
GUCGGGAAUUUUGGGCAAUGGGCGAAAGCCUGACCCAGCAACGCCGCGUGAGGGAUGAAGUAUUUCGGUAUGUAAACCUCGAAAGAAUGGGAAGAAUAAAUGACGGUACCAUUUAUAAGCUCCGGCUAACUACGUGCCAGCAGCCGCGGUAAUACGUAGGGAGCAAGCGUUGUUCGGAUUUACUGGGCGUAAAGGGCGCGUAGGCGGCGCGGUAAGUCACUUGUGAAAUCUCUGAGCUUAACUCAGAACGGCCAAGUGAUACUGCUGGGCUAGAGUGCGGAAGAGGCAACCGGAAUUCUUGGUGUAGCGGUGAAAUGCGUAGAUAUCAAGAGGAACACCUGAGGCGAAGGCGGGUUGCUGGGCCGACACUGACGCUGAUGCGCGAAAGCCAGGGGAGCAAACG